rnacentral:lncRNA from 1 species
CUGACUCACAAGCUGUGAUCUGCGGUGCCCCCUUGUGGCACAGACAGUGACAGCAGGUUGUGCUCUAUUGAUCUGACUCUGAUGGCUGCUCUCCGGCCAGUUCUUGAUGUGAUGUUAUUCAGGGUGUCCUUGACUCACCAUACAGCAGCGCCCCCCUGUGUCUGUCCAGGGCUCCUGCAGUCUGUGUGUGUGCUGUCAGUGAGAGCUGCCUCGGUCCUCAGCUCUGCUGUGGGGCUGCAGUGUGGAUCAGAGGGGCUGGACACAGCUCUUCUCUCUCUUGAGUGAAGAAAAUAAAAACAGAUUUCUUUCGCUUUCUGAUGUGAUGCCUCCCUGUGUUAUUCACUUAUCCCACAGUACUGCUGCUCCACUCUCCCAGUCCUGCGUUCCAGGGCACAGGGGCUGUGGCUGACAUGAGAGAGGUCUGUGUUUGAUGGUACACUGAGGCAGGAGACGCCACACCAGGACUGGACGGGCAGUGUGGGGCAGGAGGGGAUGGGGUGAAUGCACCAGUGACUCUGAAGAUUUAGUAGCAUAGCUGCAAUCCCCACACAACCAAACGAUCCUUUCGUUUUUGCAGGCUGUUUAAAUAAAUGCAAUGCUGUGCCACCCAGACAGGGACUCAAACCCUCAGACUACAAGUCUUCUGCUCUCCUGGCUCUUCAGGGCACCUGUAGAGUCUAUGUUUAAGACCAUUCCAAGUCUUCACUGAUGUUCCAAACAAAAUAGAAGCCGUCACAGCUGUGCAAAAGUCUUAAUGUACUGUUUUAGGUUUUAGGGGUGAGUUUGUGAGGGUGGCGGGUAAGACAAGCACCACCGAAAGGGCUGGACUUCAUCUGCCAGCGGAACGGAGCGCUGCCUGCAGUUCCACCUGUGGCCGCUAGAGGGCAGCCGAGCCCGAGCAUUUAGCUGGACUCUUUGGUGCUGAAGAGAAAUUGUUUUUCAUCACGUCUGAAUGGUGGGUUACUAUUGUCCCACUGCAGAACACCUGAGAUCUGACACAAGGGGUGGACACUGUUCUGUCAGGAGACCCCGGACCGUCAUCCUCCCUCCCCUCUCGAUUCAGUUCAGUUCGCAGUGCUUUACGAGAGACUAAUC